rnacentral:rRNA from 1 species
UAGGCGCACGGGUGAGUAACACGUAGGUAAUGUACCUUUGGGUGGGGAAUAACUUAGGGAAACUUAAGCUAAUACCGCAUAAUGCAGCGGCUCCUUCGGGAGACAGUUGUUAAAGAUUUAUCGCCUAAAGAGCAGCCUGCGGCAGAUUAGCUAAUUGGUAAGGUAACGGCUUACCAAGGCUACGAUCUGUAUCCGGUCUAAGAGGACGGUCGGACACACUGACACUGAAUAACGGGUCAG